AUGAAUCGGAGGGCCGCACCCUGUAAGUCUGGGAGGCUGGGAGGGCUGGCAGCAACAGGUUGGGCAUGGGAUGGCACUCUAUGGGUUACAUUAAACCAAUCCCAGGGUGGGAAGAGCCCACUGCCAGAGUGUGCAAUGUGGACACGGGCCGGGGAAGGAGAAGGUGCGAUGGGAAUGGUGGGCCAAGUUCCUGAGGUACAUGUAGCAGUCCUCUUUUGUGUUCCUUCUCUGCUCAGUGAGCUGCCCUCCGGCUGGACUCGUGCCACCUCGCCUUCAUCAGCUGGGGAGGUCCCGAAGGCCAGCAGGCCCCUGAGCACGAGGGCUCCCACGGGCUAUAUCAUCCGUGGAGUAUUCACCAAGCCUGUGGACAGCUCGUCCCAGCCUCACCAGCACUUCCCCAAGGCCAAUGGAGCCCCCAAAAGCACGGCCAGUCUGGGGAAAGCAGCUCCCACUGGCCCUCCCCGCCCUUCCUCCUCUGGCUACAAGAUGACCACAGAGGAUUACAAGAAGCUGGCCCCCUACAACAUCAGGUGCAGCUCAGCAUCAAGAGCUGCUGAAGAGGAGGAGGUACGCUUCUCUUCUGAUGAGCAGAAACGGAGGUCCGAGGCUGCCAGCAGUGUGGUGAGGAAGACAGCUCCCCGGGAGCACUCCUACGUCCUGUCAGCGGCCAAGAAGAACGCUGGCAGCCCUGCCCAGGAGACACUGGCCCCGUUCAUUGCCAAGAGGGUGGAUGAGGAUGGGUCUUCUGAGAAAAGCCAAGACCCACCUGCUCUGGCGAGAUUCCCUCCUGGCUCAAGCAGUGCAAGAGGUGAGGAGACUGUCCGCCUGCAGAUCACAACACUCGGAGCAGGACUCCACCUGGUGGCCCCACACCUGGAAGGAAUGAGGUCUUCCUCAGGUUCCAAAGACAAAGAGGUCCCUCACCCCAGAGAGCCCAAGAGAAACCUGACUAGUGAAGGAGCCUUCAGGAGCCCUGAUGCAGACUCUGAAAGAUCAAUUGCACAGUCAGGUGAUGGCAACAUGGGAUCGGAAGCCAUGGGUGCCCCAGAUGAAGACUUGGUUGGAGCAGACGUCAGCUCUGGGAGAGGAAGGCCGUGUUCACCUGCUGGCUUCACCCCUCUCCUGGAUGAUCAGGAGGUGCCCAGUGCCGACUCACAACCUUGCAAGCCUGCACCAGCAACCACCAGCUCUGAUGCCAUUUCGGCCUCUGCUAUCCUAGCCAACAGGAAGAGCAACAGCCUGGCAGACCUGGAGGAUACGGAGACAAAUCCAAAGGGCACCUUGGUUGUUUUUGAGGAGAAGAAUGUGGUUACCAAGGUGGGAGAGGCAUGGCAGGGGAGGCCCCGAGUCCUGCAAGAUGAUCAAGGAGACCCAGCUGUACCCACCCAGCAGUGCACAGACCCCAGCACCUCAGAGCAGAGCAGCCCCAGAAAUCCUGAGCAGCACCUGGAAGUGGACAGCCUGGUCAACAGCACCUUGGUUGUUUUUGAGAAGAAUGUGGUCACCAAGGUGGGAGAGGCAUGGCAGGGGAGCCCUGGAGUCCUGCAAGAUGAUCAAGGAGACGCAGCUGUACCCACCCAGCAGUGCACAGACCCCAGCACCUCAGAGCAGAGCAGCCCCAGAAAUCCUGAGCAGCGCCUGGAAGUGGACAGCCCGACCAACAGGAUGAGAAACUCCUCGAGCUGUACGGUCUCUGUUCCCAGCCCUGCCCCUCCUGAGCAGCAUCCUUUUCACAUGCCAGCCUCCCCAAGUGAACUGGAGCCCAACUCAACCAGCAAAGGGAUUCUCUUUGUGAAGGAGUAUGUGAAUGCUGGUGAGGUAUCUUCCAGGAAGCCACUGUCUUCAUUCUAUGGCAGCAUUGGCAGCAAUGAGGACUCAUGCAACAUGGAGGAGAAACUCCCAUAUGAUGGUACUCCAUACUCUGAGAGAACAAGUGGAGGGAUCUGUACUUACUGCAACCGGGAGAUCGGAGACUGUCCAAAGAUUACCCUAGAACACCUUGGCAUCUGCUGCCAUGACUAUUGCUUUAAGUGUGGGAUUUGCAGUAAACCAAUGGGUGAGCUUCUGGAUCAGAUCUUCAUUCACCGUGAUACCAUCCACUGUGAGAAAUGCUAUGAGAAGCUGUUCUAG
rnacentral:lncRNA from 1 species